GCCUUCGUGGUGUAAUGGUCGAACACACUGGACGCGUAGAUCCGUGGUUCGAGUCCCGUCGAGGGCA
rnacentral:tRNA from 1 species